rnacentral:misc_RNA from 1 species
GUGGCAUAUGGACCUCUUCCA